rnacentral:rRNA from 1 species
GACGAACGCUGGCGGCGUGCUUAACACAUGCAAGUCGAACGGAAAGGCCCUGCUUUUGUGGGGUGCUCGAGUGGCGAACGGGUGAGUAACACGUGAGUAACCUGCCCUUGACUUUGGGAUAACUUCAGGAAAAUGGGGCUAAUACCGGAUAGGAGCUCCUGCUGCAUGGUGGGGGAUGGAAAGAUUCGGCGGUUGGGGAUGGACUCGCGGCUUAUCAGCUUGUUGGUGGGGUAGUGGCUUACCAAGGCUUUGACGGGUAGCCGGCCUGAGAGGGUGACCGGCCACAUUGGGACUGAGAUACGGCCCAGACUCCUACGGGAGGCAGCAGUGGGGAAUAUUGCACAAUGGGCGGAAGCCUGAUGCAGCAACGCCGCGUGCGGGAUGACGGCCUUCGGGUUGUAAACCGCUUUCGCCUGUGACGAAGCGUGAGUGACGGUAAUGGGUAAAGAAGCACCGGCUAACUACGUG